AUAUCUCUCUGUACGGGAAGGAUGAGAAGCUUCGACUAAGGUUCGAUUCGAGCGCAGCGAGAAAGCGUUGCCGCAGGCAACGACCCGAAGGGCGAAGCGCGCAGCGCUGAGUAAUCCU
rnacentral:sRNA from 1 species